rnacentral:rRNA from 1 species
UACGUAAGUGGCAAGCGUUAUCCGGAAUUAUUGGGCGUAAAGCGCGCGCAGGCGGUCCUUUAAGUCUGAUGUGAAAGCCCACGGCUCAACCGUGGAGGGUCAUUGGAAACUGGGGGACUUGAGUGCAGAAGAGGAAAGCGGAAUUCCACGUGUAGCGGUGAAAUGCGUAGAGAUGUGGAGGAACACCAGUGGCGAAGGCGACUUCCUGGCCUGUUCUUGACGCUGAGGCGCGAAAGCUAGGGUAGCAAACGGG